rnacentral:rRNA from 1 species
UACGUAGGGUGCGAGCGUUGUCCGGAAUUAUUGGGCGUAAAGAGCUCGUAGGCGGCCGGUUGCGUCUGCUGUGAAAUCCCGGGGCUUAACCCCGGGCGUGCAGUGGAUACGGGCCGGCUGGAGGCAGGCAGGGGAGAAUGGAAUUCCCGGUGUAGCGGUGAAAUGCGCAGAUAUCGGGAGGAACACCGGUGGCGAAGGCGGUUCUCUGGGCCUGUACUGACGCUGAGGAGCGAAAGCGUGGGGAGCGAACAGG